AGAGUGAACGAAGGUUUGAAUUCGUGGUGUAGCAGUGAAAUGCCUAGAUAUCACGAAGAACUCCGAUUGCGAAGGCAGCUCACUGGAGCGCAACUGACGCUGAAGCUCGAAAGUGCGGGUAUCGAACAGGAUUAGAUACCCUGGUAGUCCGCACGGUAAACGAUGGAUGCCCGCUGUUGGUCUGAACAGGUCAGCGGCCAAGCGAAAGCAUUAAGCAUCCCACCUGGGGAGUACGCCGGCAACGGUGAAACUCAAAGGAAUUGACGGGGGCCCGCACAAGCGGAGGAACAUGUGGUUUAAUUCGAUGAUACGCGAGGAACCUUACCCGGGCUUGAAUUGCAGAGGAAGGAUUUGGAGACAAUGACGCCCUUCGGGGCCUCUGUGAAGGUGCUGCAUGGUUGUCGUCAGCUCGUGCCGUGAGGUGUCGGCUUAAGUGCCAUAACGAGCGCAACCCCUCUCCUUAGUUGCCAUCAGGUCAGGCUGGGCACUCUGGGGACACUGCCACCGUAAGGUGUGAGGAAGGUGGGGAUGACGUCAAAUCAGCACGGCCCUUACGUCCGGGGCUACACACGUGUUACAAUGGCAGGUACAGAGAGACGGUCCCUUGCAAAAUGGAUCAAAUCCUUAAAGCCUGUCUCAGUUCGGACUGGGGUCUGCAACCCGACCCCACGAAGCUGGAUUCGCUAGUAAUCGCGCAUCAGCCAUGGCGCGGUA
rnacentral:rRNA from 1 species